AGUACCGUGAGGGAAAGUUGAAAAGAACUUUGAAGAGAGAGUUCAAUAGUACGUGAAACCGUUCAGGGGUAAACCUGAGAAACCCAAAAGAUCGAAUGGGGAGAUUCAUCGUCAGCUACUUUGGCUUGCGUGCGGGCUCGAUGAUCGGGACUUCGGUUCUGCGUCACGCGCUCGCUGCGUCAUGUCCGAGGUCGCCGGCGUGCACUUCUCCCCUAGUAGGACGUCGCGACCCGCUGGGUGCUGGUCUACGGCCCGGUUGUAAGUCUGAUGUGUCUCGUUUACGCGUGUCACGCGUCAGACAACUGGCUGCCCGACCGGCUGCCCGGCGGUAUUGAACGAUAAUUAAACGGUAUUGGGCCGCAUCAAGUGCGUUCAGGCCCUUUGGCAGGUUUGCCUCGCUCGGAUUUACGGACCUAGUGCCGUUGCCGGGUGCUUGGUAGAUUGUUUAGCCGAAGGUGUCCUCGGACUGGCUCUUUUAUAUUCGAACGGAUAUACCGGUCGGCGACGCUACUGCUUUGGGUACUUUCAGGACCCGUCUUGAACACGGACCAAAAGC
rnacentral:rRNA from 1 species